GGAGAGAUGGCAGAGCGGUCGAAUGCGACGGUCUUGAAAACCGUUAGAGGUGAAAGCUUCUCCUGGGUUCGAAUCCCAGUCUCUCCG
rnacentral:tRNA from 1 species